CACGUAGGGCGCAAGCGUUGUCCGGAAUUAUUGGGCGUAAAGAGCUCGUAGGCGGUCUGUUACGUCUGCUGUGAAAACCCGGGGCUUAACCCUGGGCUUGCAGUGGAUACGGGCAGACUAGAGGCAGGUAGGGGAGAAUGGAAUUCCCGGUGUAGCGGUGAAAUGCGCAGAUAUCGGGAGGAACACCGGUGGCGAAGGCGGGUUGCUGGGCUGACACUGACGCUGAGGCGCGAAAGCUAGGGGAGCGAACGGG
rnacentral:rRNA from 1 species